CACAUCCACGGCAGGAAACGUAAACCGCGGCUCACAGGUGUGUUGCUGAACAGGUCAAAAUGCAGAGGAAAAACUCGCCAUCCUUUGAAAAACUACAGAAAGUCCUGCCAUGUCCUCAGUCAGGAGGCAACAAGAGCGAGCGGCCACGAGUCUCUGGGAUACACACGGCGUUGAACAGCAGACAGAGCACACACACC